GCGCAAUUCACCUGCUCGGCUCUGUUCAUUGGGAUUUACGGUGGAGAAAGUUCUCUAAUUGGGCAUAGCCAGAAGAGGAGGAAACCUCUAAUAUCCCAGACCAGUGCCUCACAAACUUUCCUGGUUCCAGACCAUUUGGCUGAGACAAAGACUCCAAAGACCCACCCAUUUCAACCUCCUAGUGAAGAAGGUACCAGGUAAGAACAAGCAAUUGGUAUUUAUGUGUAGAUGUAUAUGUUUCAUUUAGCUGUAGCUGUUUCAUUUGUAUUUGAACCACAAUGCAUAUGACAUAUAAAAUCCAUUCAUUAGGGGGAAAAAAGAAAAAAGAAAAAAAA
rnacentral:lncRNA from 1 species